rnacentral:lncRNA from 1 species
GGAACCAGCAUCGAGCCAGAGUAGCACGAUCUGAGAUGAUGCUCGUUGAGCAACGAAAUCUUGACUUAGCUUUUAGUGCUUUUGCAGUUUUAGAGAUCAAGACUUUUUCAUCACUUACGAAGAUGAUAAGCCUUUUGGUUGCUUUUUUAGGAUAUCUUGCAUUGGUCUGUAGGUUUUUUAGGAGCUUGCAUUGGUCUGCGGUCAGCUAAUUAUCUUUCUCAAUCCUAGUGCCAAUGUUCUUCAUAGGCGAAGUUAUCAAAUCAGAAUUUGAAUUUGCAGAGUUUACUUGAUCGCCCUUCGGUCUUGUCUGGGUCGCCAUGCCAUCAUGUCGAUGGUUAUCUGCUCGUAAUUUGAUGCAUGAACUUUGCGAUGUUCGUCGGAUUCCCCAAAAUAUCUUAAUACAAUGCCAGGCCUCCAUUUACACCUUGGCAUCAGCACAUGACUACAUAUGCACAAACGCGCCAACGACGAAAUCACGUAAAAUCCUUAGAAAGGAAACAACAUACGGAUAACGCAUGAUUAAACCUAGUAAUCAAACGAUGAUGUUGCAUUGUAUUUUAAUAAUUGGUGCACGAAGGAAUGAGCUGUUGAGCCACACUGUGUAUAGGUAGGAGUGAUUCGGGAGUGUUGGUCGGCAUGUGAUGAUCUAAUUAUGACAACUGAUGACGCCUCAUGACAAAUGAUUGCAUAUCAUAACAAGUGAUGACUGUUAUGAAAUAUAAUAAUCAAACCAUCUUAAAGAGCAAAUAGGUGUUAGUCUUUGGAUGAUGUCUCCACUGCUUCCAAUGCUAGGACAAGUUCAAAGUGAAGGUUUUAUCAAUAAGUUAAAUCGUUGGGGACAAAUGACUCAAGAUGGUAUAUGAUGAUCAUUGUGUUUCUUCUUUCCUCUAAGUUGGACAAAAGCUGUCAUUCUAAGUACGCUUCGACCAUAAAUGUGAGGGUUGGCAUCAUGAUAUUACUCGGUGCAUGCAAACUCGAUACAUGUGAGUAAAAGAUUCCGAUAAGUCCACAACAAAUAUAUAAGAGAACCUCGUGAAUGGAUGGGAAUGACUCAGAUGAGGGUGGUGAACAUCAAACUCAAAAUCUCUUGCUCUAGAUCCUUAAGUCCUGAGCUUGAAGGUGUGAAUUAUCAUCCUCGUUAUGAAAACAUUCUGUAUUAUAAAGAUUGUUAGGGAAAAUUACUCAAUUAACCACGUAAACCUAUCGCGUGAAUGUCAAUUCGGUUAUAAAUUUUUUAAUUUUUAUCAAUUUAAUCCUAAAAAUUUAGGCAGAAUUCCAAAAUAGUUUGCUUGAAAUUGCUGAUGUAGUGAUCGAGUCAUCUCAAGUCUUUUUAUGUGGCAUGUUGUCACAUCAACGAUUUCUUACGGGAAUUGACUAGAAAUAUUACAUUAUAAUUUUGUAUAAACUUUCAGAAUUAAAUUGGAUUUUUUUAUAAAAAAAAAUUAUGACUGAAUUAAUAAUUAUAAAAUACAUUUAACAAUGAUUGGACAAUUUUUCCGACGUGGUAGAAAGGUAUGAGUAUUCAUAUUAGAACAAGCAGAGUGUAGUGGGGAUGAGCUGGUUGCUCUUUGAACAGCCUCCUUCUCGUUGAAACCUUACUCGCGGUUUUUCGGAGCGUGCAAACCACCCUCCUCACUCAGCCCCCUCAACUCUUCCUAAUUUCCCCUCUAUUACUGUUGAAUCUUUUAAGAUAAAUUAUAUGAAUAGUGUCAGAAAUAUGCGAUAUCCUUCCUAAAUCUUUAAUUUAUUUGGUAUGAUCACUAAAUAAUUUUUUAAUUUGUAAUGUCGUGAUUCUUAAAUUUUGUGUGAUUUGCUAAAAAACGUUAACUCUCCUCUAUCUUUUUUUUUUUACUUGGUAUUAUUAUUAUUUCAAAUUAUAGAUAUUCCUAUUAAUCCUGAGGGUAUGCACUGCAUUUGUCAUAAUAUGGAACCUAUACAUCAAAAUUCUAAUAUUAUAAAAUUUUCUAUGAUAUGAGUCAAAAGAAGAAAAGAAAUUUGGUGGAUAACAAGUAGUUUGCUACUCUGAAAUCAAAAGGGCCAUGCGUGUACAAUAACGUACCCGUCACCAAUUUUAUUUUCAUUUUCCCUAGUUUGUAUUGGAUAUUAAAUGAAAGUUCAUAUAUCGAUUAUGUUAUCAUCCCUUUACAUUACGCUGUUGUACGUUGGUUAGGAAUGACCAUUCCGUGAAACCCCUAAUUCAUUAGAAUUACUAUCAUUCUUUAAUAAGAACGAAAUCCAAUGAUAUCUAACAUUAAUGAAAGGUCUCUAUGAUAUGAGUAAAAAAAAUGGGCCCCGACUUUUCGUGAGAUUGGGCCGUGGCUGCCCGCAUCUGGUAAAGGGGCCUGAGGCCCAAUUGACGGGCUCAUUCUCAGUUAAUGGGCUUUUGGCGGGGGAGCGCGCCCAGUUCGUUGGAAAUGCAAAGAGAUCGGGGGAGGAGGUAACGGUCUCGUUCCCGCUCAAUGGCGAACGGAUUUGAACGCCUUUACCAGAAUCAAGAACGCCAGAGCCUAUAUAUCUACUCCACUCAUACUCCCCAUCAUCUCAUCCUUCAUCCUUCAUCCUCUUCAAUUUCAAAUCAAGUUCUCUUUUUGCUUUUUACCCUUCUCUGCUCUCUUGGCAAACUUGCUGGCUCCAUUUCCCAUGGACGCUCCCAAGGUGGGGGAUGACGGAGGAGGCGGUGGCGGUCCCGCUGCCUGUGCGCACCAGGUUUUGAUUUACAUGCUGCUUCUAGAGUUCUGAUCUCUCUUUUGGUUGGUUUUUUUUCUCGUUGUUUAGUCGGUUCGGGUGUGAUCUUUCUUGGGCUUCGCAUUCCUCUUCCUCUGCCAUUGACUGGAGUGCGAAAUUCUCGACGCUUUCUUGAAUGGCUUUUGGCGUCUGCAGAUAUUGUCCACCGCCUUUGGUUACUUCAGCAAUCUUAAUCCUCUUGAUGCCAUUAAGUCUUGCUUACAGGCCGGCGAUCCUGGCCCGCUGUGGGGUUUGGCAUCGGCAGAAGAAACUAUGGAAGAGCAUCCUUCCAGUCGACAAAAUGCGGUUCGGAGAUUUGAUGUCCCUCCUGAUAUAUUCCACGAUUGGCAUCUGGGUAGAUUUUUUGAUGAGCAGGUAUCUGCGGUUUGUUGUAGUAUAAUUGAACUGACAGGAUUGAUGUUCUUGAUUGACUAUUUCAUAUUUCAUUCUUGAUCGGUAUUCUUGACAGUAUCGAAAUCCAGAAUAUAGAAUAAAAAAAACUCUGUCUCUGAUGAUUAUAACUCAGUUUUAAUCAACCAUCAUCGGAGAAUUCAUGUGCUUGGAUAAUCUAUAUUAUCAAUUCAGGAAGCACAUCCUCACUGCCAUGAUACUUGCCGGCAUCUCAACUUCGAUUAUGUAAUUCCCUGCCACUGCUCCACUCCUGGGAGCGACGAGUCCUGCACAUGCCACAAUCAUGCUGGGUAUGGUUCGGGAGGGCCUCCUCCUAGCGUCCAGAACUCGGGCCAUUCCCUUUUGAGGAACGGCGGACUGCAAGAAUCCAGUAGCCGGCAACAAUUCAGGGGUCAGUCUAGUGGUUACGAUUUAAAGACUAAAUGCCCAACCUGUCUCUAUAACUCGCCGCACGUCCUGUUUUCUUCAUAGCCCUUACAUAUCAAUUUCCAUGGAUUCAGAUGCAAGCGAGAUGUCAUCCCAGUGCCUAAUUGAUAAGGAGAAGCUGAUUCAGAUGCUGGAGGACUUGGAAAGUAGCUUUGUUUCCAGCAAUCCAACCUGGGGAUUCUCCGAUCCUGUUGCCGGUGGUCAAAAUGGAGAUGGAGCGACUAACACUUCGAAAAAUUGGAGCAGCGAAACCGCUUCCAAAGUACAAGAUCAAAAGAAGGCUGCAGAACCAAGCUCAGGCACUCCUGGAAGGCAGGAGAGGCGAGUACCCAAAAGACAUUUGUUUGUACACUAUAUCAGCACACUUACUAGUGGCUGAACUAGUUUUAUUUUUGGCUUGAUUUAGGAAGAAAGCAGAAAAUGCCACAGAGAAAGGAAGCACGAAAAGAUGCAGUUGCAGGAGAUCCAAAUGCUUGCAACUGUAAGCAGUAGUGCGGUUCACAGGGUUCUCAUACUUCUUGUUCUGUCCAGUUUUCACGCAUCGAAAGUUUUGAUUUGGGAGUGCCAAGCGAUGCUAGUUUCUGUGUUAUGCAGUUCCCGUAUAUCGGGGCAGCCUGUCUACUUAGAUAUGGAUAGCUAAUCCACUGUUUUUUGUUUAUGUCCUUGAUCGGAACAGCAAGCAGGUUCCAAUAGAUUACCGUGCUUGACUGAAAGUUCUCCUAUUGUUUUUCCUGGCCGGAAGAUAGAAGAGGCAUUGUAUUGUUUGAAAUAAUGCUGAAACUUUCGUGUCGGCAGAUAUUGCGAAUGCUUUGCAGCGGAACUUUUCUGUACCGACAGUUGUACAUGUGGAUUCUGCUACAACAACCGUGACAUGGAAGACUCAGUUUACAAGGCAAAGGAGCUGAUUAAAUUGCAUAAUCCUCUUGCAUUCGGUCCAAAGGUAGUUCGGCAUCCCACCAAUUCCCCUCCGGAUAAAGCGGUAACCGUCCUUCCAUCCGAGAAGUCUUAUCUCAUUCUUAGUUAAUGAGUAUGAAGGGAAAUCUGAAUUUGAGUGGCAAUGCAACAGGAAUGUGGUGGUCGUGUUGGUGGUAGGAGUGAGGACACCCCAUCAUUCGUGAGGCACAAACGCGGAUGUAAUUGCAAGAAGUCUCAGUGCCUGAAAAAUUACUGCGAGUGCUAUCAGGUUUGCAGCUAAUACAAUCUAUCAAAACAAAGAUUCGAUAGCUAAUUCGUACAAUGUAACACUUGGAUUUAGCUGUUUUAGAUGAUUUGGUAUCAUAGUCCGAACAAACUGUUACACUAGUCAGUAUACCANNNNNNNNNNNNNNNNNNNNNNNNNNNNNNNNNNNNNNNNNNNNNNNNNNNNNNNNNNNNNNNNNNNNNNNNNNNNNNNNNNNNNNNNNNNNNNNNNNNNNNNNNNNNNNNNNNNNNNNNNNNNNNNNNNNNNNNNNNNNNNNNNNNNNNNNNNNNNNNNNNNNNNNNNNNNNNNNNNNNNNNNNNNNNNNNNNNNNNNNNNNNNUUUGGCCCGAAAUCAGGUGAGCGGCACACUUGUGCUAUUAUUUGAUAGAUCUUCGUAUAGAUUGUUAACAUUCUCGCCAUGAACACAAACCAGAAGCAAUAUUUCGCUCCUCUGAUGCAAAUCAAGCAUCCUUUGAUCAAGCACAUUCUGAUUUUCUUCCCAUUACAACGCUGUGCUUUCGCAUCAUAAGAUCAUUACCAAUUGGCACAUCUAUGCUUCUGUGAAAUGAAAUAAAUAAAAGCAUCAAGAGAUUGCAUUCUUCUAGAUAUAUUCUGCUUGAAUUCUGUUUCGAUUCUAUCACAUUAAGAAUGUCUAAUUCUUAUCCAUGCGUGUUAUACUCCCUGGGACAUGAACUCCAAAGCAGCAGAGCAAGGGAUUGACAGGAAGGAAAUGUCGCCUAAAGGAACGCCGGAUGGUAUACAGGGCAUGCCCAACUCCAUCCGAACUGGGAUCGGAGGUGGGUCUGCUUCGACUUUGGAAGGAACAGUCAAUAUGCUCAACAAUACUCCAUCUCCGGGUCCUUCGGCAUCUUCCAGGAGAUACAAUAGCAUGAGUACUUCUUCGCUGUCCAACCCGACGAAUGCUAGCUCGCCCGAUCAGAGACAAGCAUCAACUCUGCAGUUUCGGUCUCCUGGACGGAGUCCAAGCAUCUCCCCAAGGUCAAGACGUGCCCCCAAACCUGAAUCGCCGGCUUGUCCUCCCCCAGAUGACAAGCCCGAAGGCGGUUCAAGUCAAGCUUAGAUCUGUUACCGAGGGAACCAGCAUCGAGCCAGAGUAGCAGGAUCUGACAUGAUGAUGCUCGUUGAGCAACGAAAUCUUGACUUAGCUUUUAGUGCUUUUGCAGUUCUAGAGAUCAAGACUUUUUUCAUCACUUACGAAGAUGAUAAGCCUUUCGGUUGCUUUUUUAGGAUAUCUUGCAGUGGUCUGUAGGUUUUUUGGGACCUUGCAUUGGUCUGCGAUCAACUAAUGAUCUUGCUCAAUCCUAGUGCCACUGUUUUUCAUAGGCGAAGCUAUGAAAAUCAGAAUUUGAAAUUUGCAAAGUUUACUUGAUUGUCUUUCAGUCUUCUUUGGAUCCUCAUGCUACCGUCUCGCUAGUAAUUUGCUCGUUAAAUGAUACAUGAACUUCCUGCUGUUCGUCGGAUUCCCUGAAAUACCUUGAUGUAAUCCUGGGCACGGCUGCAUUCACACCUUGACAUCAGGACAUGACUACAUAUGCGUAAGCCCGACGAGGAUGAUGAAAUCUACGUACGAGUGCUGUGCAAACUCCACGCGAGAAGGAGUAUUUUGAUCCAAAGGAGUACCUUUACAAAGUAGAAUCCUUGGAAGGCGAACAACAUGCAUAUGAGGCAGAAUUAUAACCUAGUAAUUUAACUAUGUUGCAUUCUAAUUUAAUAAUCGGUGCACAAAUGACUGAGCCAUUGAGCCACUAUUUCUAGGCAGAAGCGAUUCGGAAGUAUUGGUUGACAUGUGGCGAUCUAAUUAUGAGAAGUGGUGAUGCAUCAUGACAAGUGAUUGCAUGUCAUGGUAAGUGAUGACUAUCCUGAAAUAUAGUGGUCGAAGAGCAAACAGGUGUUGAGCUUUUGGGAAAACAGCUUUACUGACACUUCCAAAGAUAGGACAAGUCCAAAGUGGAGGUUUCACAAAUAAGUUAAUCACUGGGGACAAAUGACUCAAAAUGCUAUAUAAUUUUAAUUGCACUUCUUUCCUCCAAGUUGGACAAAAACUUUCAUUCUUAUAAUGCUUCGACCAUAAAUUCAAGGGUCAGGGUCACGAUGUCGCUCGACGCAUGCAAACUCGAUUUAUGUGAGUGAAAGACUCUUAUAAGCCCACAACGAAUAAAUAAGAGAGCCUCGUGAAUGGGUGGGAAUGACUCAUAUGAGUGGGGUCAACAUCAAACUUGAAAUUUCUUACUCCAAAUCGUUAAGCUCGGGAGCUGAAGGUGAGGAUUAUAUCAUAACUUAUUAUCAUCCUUGUUACCAAAAUAUUCUGCAUUAUAAGAGGACAAGUACUCAAUCGAUGCUAAAUUUAUUAUACCAUAUGAAUGCUAAUUGUAAUAAACAUUUAAAUUAUUUCCAAUUUAGUCCCGAACCUUUAAGAGGAAUUCCAAAAUAGUCAUUCCUUUUCAAUUUUCACCCGAGAAUGCUAAUGUGGUGAUUCAAUCAUUCCAAGUCUUCCUACGUGGCACAUUGACACGUUGGCAACGUCUAACAAGAAUUGAUUGAAAAGUAUACAUUAAAAUUUGUGCAAAUUUUUAGAACUAAAUUGAUGAAAUUAUAUGAAAUUAAAAAAAGUUUAGGACUGUAUUGUAUUAAUAUUAAUUCAAUCAUAAAUUUUUUAAUUUUUGUUAAAUUAGUCAUAAACCUUUCAACGGAAUUCCAAAAGAAUUAUUCGUUUGAAAUUGCUAACAUAACGAUUUAGUCAUCCCAAGUCUUGCUACAUGACACAUCAACACACUAGCGAUGUUCAACAAAAAUUGACCACACAUUGAGUAAUUCUAAGAGACACAGGUUUGUGCUGUUAAAGGUGGCUUUAAGAGAAUGCACUAAUUUGAUGAUUCAAACCCAAAUGUCAAAUAACAACGACGAGUACACUUACCACUUGAGAUUUGCAUACUUGAUUGAGGGUGUUAGGCGAUUUCUAGCUUAUGAACCCUAUUUAUAUCUCACCCCUUACAGAGAUCGAAAAGCUUCGACUUAAUUGGUAUGCGGAGGUUUAAAGGUAGUUGAUAAGUUUCUAGUUGCGUCUUCAGUGUGUAUCAAAUUAUCUGUCAAGUUACGAACUUUGCCCGGAGUUGGGUUCAUUUCACAUGAUUUGCUGAGCCAUUUGGACCUUGACUUUGGAAAACAUUCAAUGUAGUGGCUUGACCAUCGUUAUAAUCAUUGGACCCCCUUUGAUUAUAGAUAAAAAGCCGUGACGAACUGAAUAUGAAAUUUUGAUACGGAGUGACGCAACACACGACCUCAGCUAGUUAAUGACGUGACGUGGACACAAAGAUCAUCGGAUCAGUCGAAUAUUGGAUCUGAAUCUCCUUCCACGGGUAUAUUGAUUUAUUUUUAGUUUUUUUGGUCGAACAGGUAUAUUGAUUAAUCAGUCAAUUAAUCCUCGUAUCUCCAUUUCUAUUAGGAAAAAAUGACAAAUAAUUCUUAAUGCAAUUCCUAAACUUUUAAUUUAUUAAAUGUGAUCCUUAAACUUUAAUCUAAUUGAAAAUGUGAUCCAUAAAUUUUUAAUUCAUUUAAUAUGGUUCCUAAACUUUUGAUACAUGUUUAGUAUAUAGUUUUUGAAUUAUAUAAAAAUAUUCAAUUUGAUCUUUCAACUUUUGAAACAUGUUUAAUUUAGUUUCCGAACUAUAUGACAACAUUUAAUGUUGUCCUUGAACCUCAAUCAAUGGAAAGACAAUAUUGAAUAUUUCAUGCAAUUUAAGGACUAAGUUGAACAUGCAUAAAGAAUUUAAGAAUCACAUUGUAUAAAUUAAAAGUUCAUGUAUCACAUUACACAUUGAGCUAAAAUUCAAAGCCACAUUAAAAAAAUUAAAAAUUUAAAAGGCCACAAUGCAGAUUAGGUAAAAUUUUAGGGACUAUUUGUUUUAUUAUCCCUUCCUAUUACUUGCACGGAUUGUUUCAUAAUCAUGGGAUCCCAACAAAAUCUAUUUUAAAGUUGUGCAUGAUAACAUUUUUAUUCCUAUGUUCUUUUGUUCUUUUGUCCAUCGGAAUAAAAAAAAAAAAGAACAAAAAUUUGUUUGAAAACAUCAAUUAACUUUUUUAUUCUCUAAAAUAGAAAAGUGGUCAAAAAUUAGAUUUAUAACAAAAAAAAAGUAGAAAAAAAAACAACUUAUUCCCAUAAGCAAAUUUUAUAAAUAAGUUAUUUUUUUCUUGUCUUUUUCUUCCAUGCCACCUACUGCCACCCCCUUGCCAUUGCCAGCAAAAUUGGCCUAUGGCGGCGAGCGGCAGGCGACAACAGAAGAAGAAGAGAGGAAAAAAGAAAAAAAAAAGAAAAUUCUCAAAAAAAUUAUUAAAAAUUUAAAGAAAUGUUAUGUUACAAAAAAAGAAAAAAACUUGUGGGUCAUACCAAACACAUUCAUUUUUUUUUUUUCCUAUUUCGAGGAUAGAAAUUUUUAGCAAUUACCAAACGUAUUGUUUUACUCAGAAACUAUUAUAGAGAGUAAAAAUAGAAAAUAGCUAUUACUAAAAAGAAAUUAUUCCUAAGAACAUAAAUGUUACCAACACGCCAUAAGCAAUUUUAUCAUAUCUCGAAUCGCACUAACAACUUUUCAUAAUCAAAACUAGGUAAGCUUUUGUUCUGUUAUAAGCAAUUGGGUUUUCAAUUUUUUUUCUUUCCUUUUUCUUUUUGUUACCCCCAGAGCCUCUUGAGUCUUUACCGACCUAAUCUAGUCAAUUGUCCUCAGUGCUGAUGUGGCACGAUGACAAGAUGAGGAAAUGCUCCAUGGAAACCAAUACAUAGAACCACAUCAGUAAAGUCCCGAGAAUAAAGAAUUUCAAGGAUCGAGAUGCUUGUAGCCGAUGCGAUCUAUUAGGGGUACAUAUCGAGAUGAAUUCGUACCUCGCGAGUAAAAACUGGAGAAUCCCUAUCCUUAUCGAUAUGAAUAUGUACCUCCCGUGUAAAAACUAGAGAAUCUCUAUCCUUUUGCUUCCUUCAGUCACAGAAGCGGGUGGAUACUUUUUGGACGAGCGAGGCUGGGAUUGUGGAUACUUUCUUUUUCAUUGGUCCAGGGCCUAAGGAUGUCGUGAAGCAAUACGUUAGUGUGACUGGUAGUGUGACUGGUAGCCCUGCGAUGACUCAGCUCUUCGCCACAGCUUAUCACCAGUGUAGAUGGGAACUACAGGGAUGAGGAGGAUGUUGAGAACGUGGAUGCCAAAUUCGACGAGCAUGACAUCCCUUACGACGUUCUUUGGCUCGAUAUUGAGCACACGGACGGCAAGAAGUACUUUACCUGGGAUAAGGUGCUUUUCCCUCAUCCCGAGGAGAUGCAACGGAAGCUAGCUGCAAAGGGUAGGCACAUGGUGACAAUUGGGCCGUAAUUGGGCCUGAGGCCCAAUUGACGGGCUCAGUAUUGAUUAAUGGGCUUUUGGCGGGGUGGGCCCAGUUCUUGGAAAAUGCGAAGAGAUCGGGGGAAGGUGAGGUCUCGUUCCCGCUCCCUGCCUACCGGAUUUGGACGACUUACCAGAAUCAAGAACCGGAAGAGUUGAUCUCAUCCUUUGUCUUCAUCCUCUUCAAUUUCAAAUCAAGUUCGGUUUUUUAUUUUUACCCUUCUCUGUUCUCAUGGCAAACUCGCUGGCUUCAUUUUUGCAUGGACGCUCCCGAGGAGGAACAUGACCGCGGCAGCGGCGGCGAUUCUGCUGCCCGUCCGCACCAGGUUUUCAUUUUGAUCACUCGUUGGGUUGGUUUUUCUUGGGGUUUAGUCGGUCCGGACGUGACCCUUCUCAAGCUUCGCUGUCUUUCUUGAAUGGCCUUUUGCUGUCUGCAGGAAUUAUCCGCUGUCGUUGGUUACUUCAGUAAUCUUUAUCCUCUUGAUACCAUAGAGUCUUGCGUACAAGCCGGUGAUCCUGACCAGCCGUUGGGUUCGUUACUGGCAGAACAGGCUAAGGAAGAGCAUCCUUCUGGUCGACAGAAUGCGGUUCAGAGAUUUGAUGUCCCUCCUGACGUGUUCCAAGAUUGGCAGCUGGGAAGAUUUUUUGACGACCAGGUAUCCGCGGUUUCUUGUAGUAUUGUUUCGCGACGGCUGGGAAAUAGAACUGAUAGGAUUGAUGUUGUUGACUGAUUAUUUCGUAUAUAAUUCUUGAUCAGUAUUGAAAUCCAGAUUUUAGAAUUAAAAAAAGAUUACCUCUGAUAAUUAUGACUCAGUUUCACGUGCUCAGAUAAUCUAUAUUAUCAAUGCAGGAAGCGCAUCCUCACUGCCGUGAUACUCCCCAGCAUCUCAACUUCGAUGAUGUAAUGCCCCGCCACCGUUCCACUCCUUGGAGCCACGUUUCCUGCGCAUGCCACAAUCAUGCGGGUUGUAGUUCGGGCAUGCCUCCUGCUAGCAUGCAGAACUGGGGCCAUUUGCUUUUGAGCAAUGGCGGACCGGAAGAAUCCAGUAGCUGGCAACAAUUCAGCGGUCAGUCAAGUGGUUACGAUUUAAAGACUAAAUGCCCAACCUGUCUCUAUGACUCGCCGCACGUCCUGUUUUCUUCGUAGCCCUUACAUAUCAAUUUCCAUGGAUUCAGAUGUAAGCGAGAUGUCAUCCCAGUGCCUAAUUGAUAAGGAGAAGCUGAUUCAGAUGCUGGAGGACUUGGACAGUAGCUUUGUUUCCAGCAAUCCAACCUGGGAAUUCUCCGAUCCUGUUGCCGGUGGUCAAAAUGGAGAUGGAGUGACUAUCACUGCGAAAAAUUGGACCAGCGAAACCGCUUCCAAAGUACAAGAUCAAAAGAAGGCUGCAGAACCAAGCUCGGGCACUCCUGGAAGGAGGGGGAGGCGAGUACACAUAUGACAUAUUUGUUUGUGCACUAUAUCAACACAUUUACUAGUGGCUAAACUAGUUUUAUUUUUGGCUUGAUUUAGGAAGAAAGCAGAAAAUGCCACAGAGAAUGGAAGCACGAAAAGAUGCAGUUGCAGGAGAUCCAAAUGCUUGCAACUGUAAGCAGUAGUGCGGUUCACAGGGUUCUCAUACUUCUUGUUCUGUCCAGUUUUCACGCAUCGAAAGUUUUGAUUUGGGAGUGCCAAGCGAUGCUAGUUUCUGUGUUAUGCAGUUCCCGUAUAUCGGGGCAGCCUGUCUACUUAGAUAUGGAUAGCUAAUCCACUGUUUUUUGUUUAUGUCCUUGAUCGGAACAGCAAGCAGGUUCCAAUAGAUUACCGUGCUUGACUGAAAGUUCUCCUAUCGUUUUUCCUGGUCGAAAGAUAGAAGAGGCAUUGUAUUGUUUGAAAUAAUGCUGAAACUUUCGUGUCCGCAGAUAUUGCGAAUGCUUUGCAGCGGAACUUUUCUGUACCGACAGUUGUGCAUGUAGACUCUGCUACAACAACCUUGAAAUGGAGGACUCAGUUUUCAAGGCAAAGGACCGGAUUAAAUGAGGUGAUCCUCUUGCAUUCGGUCCGAAGGUAGUUCCGCAUCCCAACGAUUUGCCUCCGGAUAAAGUGGUAACCAUCCUUCCAUCCGGGAAGUCUUAUCUCAUUCUUAGUUAAUGAGUAUGAAGGGAAAUCUGAAUUUGAGCGGCAAUGCAACAGGAAAGUGGUGGUCGUGGUAGUGGUGAGAAUGAGGACACCCCAUUAUUCGUGAGGCACAAACGCGGAUGUAAUUGCAAGAAGUCUCAGUGCCUGAAAAAUUACUGCGAAUGCUACCAGGUUUGCAGCUAAUUCAAUCUAUUGACACAAAGAUUCGAGAGCUAAUUUGUACAUUGUAACACUUGGAUUUAGCCGUUUUAGAUGAUUUGGUAUAAUGGUCAGAAGAAACUGUCACGCCAGUCAGUAAACCUGUUUAGCAACGUCGCUUAUUUUAAUUGGAUUCGUAACAUCACAACAGGAAGACGAACUCUUAAGAUUGUUGAUUUCUGAACUGGCGCAUCCUAUGGAUUUUCCAGUUGUUCUAUAACAAUCUUACUAGAACGCUCUAUUUUUCCUGCUGCCAGGGCAAAGCUGGAUGUUUCCAUGAAUGCAACUGCGAAGAUUGCUCUAACCCUUUUGGCCCAAAAUCAGGUAAGCGGCACACUUGUGGCUGCUAUUCCGAUACAUCUUUGUAUAGAUUGUUAACAUUCUCGCCAUGAACACAAACCGGAAGCAAUAUUUUGCUCCUCCUGAUGCAAAUCAAGCAUCCUUUGAUCAAGCACAUUCUGAUUUUCUUCCCGUUACAACACUCCGCUUUGGCGUCAUAAGAUGAUUACCAAUUGCCACAUCGAUGCUUCUGCAAAAUGAAAGAAAUAAAAGCAUCAAGAGAUUGCAUUCUUCUAGAUAUAUUCUGCUUGAAUUCUGUUUCGAUUCUAUCACAUUAAGAAUGUCUAAUUCUUAUCCAUGCGUGUUAUACUCCCUGGGACAUGAACUCCAAAGCAGCAGAGCAAGGGAUUGACAGGAAGGAAAUGUCGCCUAACGGAACGCCGGAUGGUAUGCAGGGCAUGCCCAACUCCAUCCGAACUGGGAUCGGAGGUGGGUCUGCUUCGACUUUGGAAGGAACAGUCAACAUGCUCAACAACACUCCAUCUCCGGGUCCUUCGGCAUCUUCCAAGAGAUACAAUAGCAUGAGUACUUCUUCGCUGUCCAACCCGGCGAAUGCUAGCUCGCCCGACCAGAGACAAGCAUCAACUCCGCAGCUUCGGUCUCCUGGACGGAGUCCAAGCAUCUCCCCAAGCUCGAGACCUGCCCGCAAAGCAGACUCGUGGACUCCUCCUUCCCCAGAUGGCGAGCCCGGAGGCGGUUCAAGUCGAGCGUAAAUCAGUAACCGAGGGAACCGGCAUCGAUCCAGAGGAGCACGAUCUGAGAUGAUGCUCGUAGAGCAACGAAAUCUUGACUUAGCUUUUAGUGCUUUUGCAGUUUUAGAGAUCAAGACUUUUUCAUCACUUACCAAGAUGAUAUGGUCCGUAGGUUUUUUAGGAGCUUGCAUUGGUCUGCGGUCAGCUAAUUAUCUUUCUCAAUCCUAGUGCCAAUGUUUUUCAUAGGCGAAGUUAUCAAAUCAGAAAUUGAA